rnacentral:lncRNA from 1 species
GAAUAAGACAACGUACCACUGUUAUAAGAUUCCAAGUGAAUUCCUUCAGAGGAAGAGAAGGACAACAUAAGAAGGCGUGGAUGACAGACUUUCAGUUAAACUAACAAAGAAAGAACACUGCAGCACCAUCUAUGCCUACCUUUUUCUCAGCGUUUAUAAAAAAAAAUUCAUAUUCCCUACAAAGCAAAACUAUGGUAUAACAGGACAACUAAGACUGCCCUGGCACCAGAGAAACUACAAUCUAGAUGUGCUCUGCUUCCAGUCGGCCGAGAAGCCUGCAGCAAAUCACCUAAACACUUAAGGUCUUUGUGUGCCAUCCACACCCAACUGCAACUAGAGACUUUCAUUAGCCCCUUUCUGUCUCAGAGCUUUCGGUGGUUCUACAAGUCACCAGCCUGGAUCUCUAACAAUGUGUCUCUCCAAAGCUGUUAAUACAUUCACAUCCAAAAUAUCUCCAGCCACGAAAUCCUAGUUUAGAGGUUGCCCGUCCUUGUUGAAGAAACAUUUCUACACAAAUACCUGUUGCCUAUACCAGAUGGCCAUACCAAUACCCAAAUACUGACAAACGUUUAAAAGAAUUUACGGUACUCCCUUCACUUUAGAAAUGUUAACAGUUCAAGUCCAACAGAACUUAAAGGAAAAAAAGAGAAAUGUUAACAGUAAGUAAGGCAUUUAUUUAACAUAAUCUCAACUAAAGUCCAACUAAAGAGCUUCCCCAGGCAAACACUCCUUUUGCACUUCAUUUUGAAGACAAAAGAAUGCACAAGUUAAAAUCCUAAUAUUACCAUUUUAUUAAAAAUAACUUUUAAGAUCCAAUCUGUGGCCAAUAUUCGAUCUGGAUGCAAAACCCUGGCUUCCAGACAGGCCAGCCAGGGGCACUGCUCUGAAGGUCAUUACUUAAGUAUCCCAGUCUCCUCAGUCUGACAGACCUACCCCUGCCCAGCCAAUCUCCACAUAACAGCUAGUUGUUCAUAAUAAAUCCCAUCAGAUCCCCGCUUAACUACUCCCCUUCAAAGGCUCCACUGCCCUCAGGAAAUAGUUCAACCACCUUCUGUAGAAAGGCCUUCUAAAACCUCUCUCCGAGUCUGUCUGCUAAUCUCUCCCACUUGACACUCCCCAGGUCUCUGGCCAGCUGAACUUCCCGGGCAUUUCCUGAACAAUGCCCCUCAAUAAACCACAUGCAACUCUCAUUUUCUGAUGCCACCGCGCUUUGUACAUUCAGUUCCGUCUAUAUGCCACCACCUCCUCUGGAGAGCUGUGGACUUGUCACUCACCAUUCCCCCCAAGCCCCCUAGUAGACCAUAAACUCAAGGGCAAGGACCACCACAUCUUAUUCAUCUUCAUUUUACCACACCCUAACUCACAGUAGUUGUUCAAUAGAUAUAAAAUGAAUGGCCCUGAAUUCCUCCCAAAGGGUCCUAUGCUCCUAACCUACCUAACCUAAUAGAGGUAUUAUGCACUCUGGAUCCUGACGAAGGUUUACAAGCAGGGCUGCCUAUCUCUGUAACACAUCUAGAAGGUAAAGUGAUCGUUUUUCUGAGUAAAAAAAUCUAGCACAAUGGGCAAAGAAUCUGAAUAGACAUUUCUCCAAAGAAGAUAUAAAAAUGGCCAAUAAGCACAUGAAAAGAUGCUCAAUAUUAGUCAUUAGGGAAAUGCAAAUCAAAACCACUUCAUAGCCAACAGGAUGGUAUAAUAAAAAAAAAUAU